rnacentral:rRNA from 1 species
GACAUCGAGAUCGCGGUUUCCAGAGAUGGAUUCCUUCAGUUCGGCUGGAUCUUAGACAGGUGUUGCAUGGCUGUCGUCAGCUCGUGUCGUGAGAUGUUGGGUUAAGUCCCGCAACCGAGCGCAACCCUCGCCUUUAGUUGCCAUCAUUAAGUUGGGCACUCUAGAGGGACUGCCGGUGAUAAGCCGGAGGAAGGUGGGGAUGACGUCAAGUCCUCAUGGCCCUUAUGGGUUGGGCUACACACGUGCUACAAUGGCGGCGACAAUGGGCAGCGAAGGGGCGACCCGGUGCAAAUCCCAAAAAGCCGUCUCAGUUCGGAUUGCACUCUGCAACUCGAGUGCAUGAAGGUGGAAUCGCUAGUAAUCGCGUAACAGCAUGACGCGGUGAAUACGUUCCCGGGCCUU